ACACUCGAUAAAAUGCCGUUAUAUCAUAUGUUCAUUAUAGGUACGAACGGAGGUGUUUUUUUCGCCCCGAGGAUAUUUCAAAGUGACAUAAUUUAUCGUAUGUGACCUAUUCACACUGCGGACUAAUACCCAUACUGCGCGAUGGUUGUAAUUUAUACGAAUUUUAAAAUAUUACAUCGUCUCGAUUCGACAGUGUGCAAUAAAUUUUGAGGUGAAUAGAUAUGUCAAACAUAGUAUGAAGCUGUAAUACGUAAAAAUAUAUACUUAUAGUAUAAAAUAUUAUGUGGACUUAUUCGAGCACGUAA